GGCCUACCAUGGUGGUAACGGGUAACGGGGUGUUAGGGCACGACACCGGAGAGGGAGCCUGAGAAACGGCUACCACAUCCAAGGAUGGCAGCAGGCGCGCAAAUUACCCAAUCCCGACACGGGGAGGUAGUGACAAUAAAUAACAAUACGGGGUUCUUACGGAUCUCGUAAUUGGAAUGAGUACAAUUUAAAUCUCUUAACGAGGAACAAUUGGAGGGCAAGUCUGGUGCCAGCAGCCGCGGUAACUCCAGCUCCAAUAGCGUAUAUUAAAGUUGUUGCAGUUAAAAAGCUCGUAGUUGAAUUUCGGGAUCAAUAUGUCGGUCGUGCCUCGGUACGUACUGGCAUCAUUGGUUUCUCCCUUCUGAUGAACCAUGAUGCCAUUAAUUUGGUGUCGUGGGGAAUCAGGACUGUUACUUUGAAAAAAUUAGAGUGUUUAAAGCAGGCUCACGCUUGAAUACAUUAGCAUGGAAUAAUGAAAUAGGACGUUUGAUUCUAUUUUGUUGGUUUCUAGGAUCGACGUAAUGAUUAAUAGGGAUAGUUGGGGGCAUUAGUAUUCAAUUGUCAGAGGUGAAAUUCUUGGAUUUAUUGAAGACUAACUACUGCGAAAGCAUUUGCCAAGGAUGUUUUCAUUAAUCAAGAACGAAAGUUAGGGGAUCGAAGACGAUCAGAUACCGUCGUAGUUUUAACCAUAAACUAUGCCAACUAGGGAACGGAUGAUGUUAAUUUUUUAAUGACUCAUUCGGCGCCUUACG
rnacentral:rRNA from 1 species